rnacentral:rRNA from 1 species
UACGUAGGUGGCAAGCGUUGUCCGGAUUUACUGGGCGUAAAGAGCGCGCAGGCGGUCGUUCAAGUCGCGUGUGAAAGCCCCCGGCUCAACUGGGGAGGGUCACGCGAUACUGAUCGACUCGAAGGCAGGAGAGGGUAGUGGAAUUCCCGGUGUAGUGGUGAAAUGCGUAGAUAUCGGGAGGAACACCUGUGGCGAAGGCGGCCCCCUGGUUGGAUACUGACGCUGAUACGCGAAAGCGUGGGGAGCAAACAGG